rnacentral:rRNA from 1 species
GCAUAUCAAUAAGCGGAGGAAAAGAAACCAACAGGGAUUACCUCAGUAACGGCGAGUGAAGCGGUAACAGCUCAAAUUUGAAAUCUGGGUCUUUCAGGCCCCGAGUUGUAAUUUGUAGAAGAUGCUUCGGGUGCGGCUCCGGUCUAAGUUCCUUGGAACAGGACGUCAUAGAGGGUGAGAAUCCCGUAUGUGAUCGGUUGCCUGCGCCCGUGUGAAGCUCUUUCGACGAGUCGAGUUGUUUGGGAAUGCAGCUCAAAAUGGGUGGUAAAUUUCAUCUAAAGCUAAAUAUUGGCCAGAGACCGAUAGCGCACAAGUAGAGUGAUCGAAAGAUGAAAAGCACUUUGGAAAGAGAGUUAAACAGUACGUGAAAUUGUUGAAAGGGAAGCGCUUGCAACCAGACUUGCGCGUUGCUGAUCAUCCGGGGUUCUCCCCGGUGCACUCGGCCUCGCUCAGGCCAGCAUCGGUUCUGGUGGUGGGAUAAAGGCCUUGGGAAUGUAGCUCCCCUCGGGGAGUGUUAUAGCCCUCGGUGCAAUGCCGCCUACCGGGACCGAGGACCGCGCUUCGGCUAGGAUGCUGGCGUAAUGGUUGUAAGCGACCCGUCUUGAAACACGGACCAAGGAGUCUAACAUCUAUGCGAGUGUUUGGGUGUCAAACCCAUACGCGUAAUGAAAGUGAACGGAGGUGAGAACCCUUAAGGGUGCAUCAUCGACCGAUCCUGAUGUCUUCGGAUGGAUUUGAGUAAGAGCAUAGCUGUUGGGACCCGAAAGAUGGUGAACUAUGCCUGAAUAGGGUGAAGCCAGAGGAAACUCUGGUGGAGGCUCGCAGCGGUUCUGACGUGCAAAUCGAUCGUCAAAUUUGGGUAUAGGGGCGAAAGACUAAUCGAACCAUCUAGUAGCUGGU